GGUCAAGUUAUUAAGGGUGUAGGGCGGAUGCCUUGGCACUAGGAGCCGAUGAAGGACGUGAUAAGCUGCGAUAAGCUUCGGGGAGUUGCACGUAAACUUUGAUCCGAAGAUUUCCGAAUGAGGAAACUCACUUAGAGUAAUGUCUAAGUAUCAUUAAGUGAAUACAUAGCUUAAUGAGGGGAACUCAGGGAACUGAAACAUCUAAGUACCUGAAGGAAGAGAAAGAAAUUCGAUUCCGUAAGUAGCGGCGAGCGAACGCGGAUUAGCCCAAACCAAUAAAGUUUUCUUUAUUGGGGUUGCGGACAUAUCAUAACGAAGAGGUAUCGUAAUUGAAGAGGUUUGGAAAGACCCACCACAGAAGGUAAUAGUCCUGUAUGUUAAACGAGAAGACUUUAGAUAUGAUCCAGAGUACCACGGGACACGUGAAACCCUGUGGGAAGCAGGAGGGACCACCCUCCAAGGCUAAAUACUACCUAGUGACCGAUAGCGUAUAGUACCGUGAGGGAAAGGUGAAAAGAACCCCGGGAGGGGAGUGAAAUAGAACCUGAAACCCUGCACUUACAAGCUGUGGAAGCACAUUUCUUGUGUGACCGCGUACUUUUUGUAGAACGGGCCAACGAGUUACGUUAAGUAGCAAGGUUAAGCACUUAAGGUGCGGAGCCGUAGCGAAAGCGAGUUUUAACUGAGCGUUCAGUUACUUGACGUAGACCCGAAACCGGGCGACCUACCCAUGAGCAGGAUGAAGCGAAAGUAAAAUUUCGUGGAGGUCCGAACCCACGAGCGUUGAAAAGCUCGGGGAUGACUUGUGGGUAGCGGUGAAAUUCCAAUCGAGCCCGGAGAUAGCUGGUUCUCCCCGAAAUAGCUUUAGGGCUAGCCUCAAGGUGAGAGAUACGGAGGUAGAGCACUGAAUGUCCUAGGGGGUAUUGCACCUACCGAAGACUAUCAAACUCCGAAUGCCGUCAUCUUAUACUUGGGAGUCAGACUGUGGGUGAUAAGAUUCAUAGUCGAAAGGGCAACAGCCCAGAUCGUCAGCUAAGGUCCCUAAAUGUAAGUUAAGUGGUAAAGGAUGUGGGAUUGCACAGACAACCAGGAUGUUGGCUUAGAAGCAGCCACUCAUUCAAAGAGUGCGUAAUAGCUCACUGGUCGAGUGAUCCUGCGCCGAAGAUUUCCGGGGCUAAAACUUACUACCGAAGCUACGGCAUCAGUAAUGAUGGGUAGGGGAGCUUCCCAUACGGGUUGAAGCAUGACCGUAAGGACAUGUGGACAGUAUGGGAGUGAGAAUGUUGGCAUGAGUAGCGAGAUGUGGGUGAGAAUCCCACAGGCCGUAAACCCAAGGUUUCCAGGGGAAGGUUCGUCCGCCCUGGGUUAGUCGGGACCUAAGCUGAGGCCGAAAGGCGUAGGUGAUGGACAACAGGUUGAUAUUCCUGUACUACCGAUAACCGUUUGAGAGAAGGGAUGACACAGUAGGAUAAGCUAAGCACACUGUUGGUUAUGUGUGCCCAAGCAUUGAGGCAGUCAAAGUAGGCAAAUCCGCUUUGAUAAUGCUGGGAUGUGAUGGGGAGCGAAAUUUAGUAGCGAAGUAGCUGAUUUCACACUGUCAAGAAAAGUCUCUAUCGAGGUUAAAGGUACCCGUACCGCAAACCGACACAGGUGGGUGAGGAGAGUAUCCUAAGGCCAGCGAGAGAACUGUUGUUAAGGAACUCGGCAAAAUGACCCCGUAACUUAGGGAUAAGGGGUGCCACCAUCAGGUGGCCGCAGAGAAUAGGCCCAAGCGACUGUUUACCAAAAACAUAGGUUUCUGCUAAGUCGCAAGACGAUGUAUAGGAGCUGACGCCUGCCCGGUGCUGGAAGGUUAAGGGGAUCUGUUAGAGCAAUCGAAGCAGUGAACUUAAGCCCCAGUAAACGGCGGCCGUAACUAUAACGGUCCUAAGGUAGCGAAAUUCCUUGUCGGGUAAGUUCCGACCCGCACGAAAGGCGUAACGAUUUGGGCACUGUCUCAACAACAGACUCGGUGAAAUUGUAAUUCCGGUGAAGAUGCCGGAUACCUGCGACAGGACGGAAAGACCCCAUGGAGCUUUACUGUAGCUUGACAUUGGGUCUUGGUACUACAUGUACAGGAUAGGUGGGAGGCUUUGAAACCAGGACGCCAGUUUUGGCGGAGCCAUCCUUGGGAUACCACCCUUGUAGUACUGGGACUCUAACCAUAGGCCAUGAAUCUGGUCUUGGGACACUGUCAGGUGGGCAGUUUGACUGGGGCGGUCGCCUCCCAAAAGGUAACGGAGGCGCUCAAAGGUUCUCUCAGUACGGUCGGAAAUCGUACGUAGAGUGUAAAGGCAAAAGAGAGCUUGAUUGCAAGACAUACAGGUCGAGCAAGGAUGAAAAUCGGACUUAGUGAUCCGGUGGUUCUGCGUGGAAGGGCCAUCGCUCAACGGAUAAAAGCUACCCUGGGGAUAACAGGCUUAUCUCCCCCAAGAGUCCACAUCGACGGGGAGGUUUGGCACCUCGAUGUCGGCUCAUCACAUCCUGGGGCUGUAGUAGGUCCCAAGGGUUGGGCUGUUCGCCCAUUAAAGUGGUACGCGAGCUGGGUUCAGAACGUCGUGAGACAGUUCGGUCCCUAUCCGUCGCAGGCGUAGGAAAUUUGAGAAGACCUGUCCUUAGUACGAGAGGACCGGGAUGGACGUACCUCUGGUGUACCAGUUGUCCUGCCAAGGGCAUGGCUGGGUAGCUAUGUACGGAAUGGAUAAGCGCUGAAAGCAUCUAAGCGCGAAGCCAACUUCAAGAUAAGAUUUCCCACCGCAAGGGUAAGACCCCAGAAAGACUAUCUGGUUGAUAGGUCGAAGGUGUAAGUGCAGCAAUGUAUUUAGCUUAUCGAUACUAAUAGGUCGAGGACUUGACCAA
rnacentral:rRNA from 1 species